UUGGAAUUAAAAUAAUUGUCAAAAACUUCCCUCCCAAAUUUCCCUCUCAAAAUCUCCCAAAAAGAACCCGACUAUCUACCUCCCUCUCAGAAUUAGAUCAUUCAAGUUCACCCUAACAUUCCCCAUUUUUACCAUCUCGUUAAAUACCCUCCACUUCAGGAAUAGCAUAUAACAUAACACAAAUAUCCAUUCCAAAUAAGUAGAAGCAUGUUACCAUAAAGAUAAAGUCAUGCUUGUAGGAUUGUCCAAGAUCAACUAAAGAGAAUAGUUUAAUUCGUGAAAAAUAGAAGUUGGUGCUGAAGUAAACUGGAGGUUGUAUCAGAACUCAACAAUCGACAGAAUUGGAGAAGCAAAAUGAAAAUCUAUGACACUGUUUUUAUGGAGGAGUGAUGAAAUCAAAAUCAAUGGAGACGUGAAUAUAUUUUUUUCUCUUGCAGAAGUAUAUCAAUAUGUUCGAGUAAAAUGAUGUUUUGCAACUUUGAAUGUUAUUGUUGAACAUUUAUUUAUUUAUUUUAAUAUAUUGCAUUUAUUGAAA